CAUGAGUCCCAGACUCAUCACGACUGAGACCCAUCAGAUCGAGGUAAUAUUGGUAAUGAGAGAUAAUGUUGUUCAUGGGGUCAAUAUCGCCCUUCCCACAGAUGGAAUCGCCGUAGAGAAUAUUCAUGGUUGCGCCGAAACCAGGAACCCUUUUGGACAAGGUGUCGUUCUUGGUAGGCUUCCAAUUGCCAACAAAGACAUCAUGGGGUGAAGGCUGUGACUUCUUCACUGGGUUCAUCCACAUCCAAAUUGCAGUUUGGAAUCCAAUGGUAGCAUUCUGCUCAAUAUAUUCAGGAUGAUUCAACAGGUCAAUCUUCAAUGCAUCCCCAAUCUUGCCGUAAUUGUAAUUCCUAUGACAACAAACAACAAUAAGAACUCAGUCAAAUUCUCAUGGAUUGGGGAUCAGAAUGUUAUGUUCAUACUUCCUUCGAACCUAACUAGUAAUCAACAUCUUAUCAGAUUAGUCCCUAAUCUAAACAGACAGAAAAAGGUGCCAUUUGCAUUUUCCAUCAUGAUAUGUUAGAUUAGAGACCUGCAAGUGACCAUUGAUCAAAUAGUAGUUAAAGGGAUUAAGUGAAAGAACAUAAUGGACUAUGCAUAAACAAGGAACACAGCUAUAAACCAAUGUUAGAAACCCAUAUUACUAAACAAAAGCCACUGAAAAACGAAAAUGGGGAUAGA
rnacentral:lncRNA from 1 species